GCCCCUGUAGUUAAAUGGAUAUAGCAACUCCCUCCUAAGGAGUCGUUGCGCGUUCGAUUCGCGCCGGGGGUGCCA
rnacentral:tRNA from 1 species